UCCUGUAUCGCCUAAUGUGUAACGCUGAAAACAUAGUAAAUUCCAGACCGCUUACACACAUUGCUCUGGAUAACCCCACAGACGAUCCGAUAACCCCUAAUCACUUUCUUUUAGGUUCUCCCAAUUCUAGCCAGACACCACAUCCACAAGAGGAGAAGUACCAGCCAACUCGAAAGGAAUGGCGCAUCGCUCAGCAGAUCUCACACUCAUUUUGGAACAAGUGGCUCAAUGAGUACCUACCAGACCUAUGCAGACGGACAAAGUGGCAUCACCCAAUGCCACCACUCGCUGAAAUGGACAUUGUUCUUAUCUGUGAUAAGAAUCUUCAUCGAUCUCAAUGGAAAAAGGGAGUUAUUCUAGCAGUCACGCCUGGACGCGACGGACAGGUUCGCUCAGCCACUGUAAAGACGACGGCUGGAGUUCUACACCGCCCAACCUGUAUGCUGGAAAAGCUAGACAUAUUGUGAAUCACGAGCGUGCUUGAUUCACGGUGGUGGGGAUGUUGUCGAGAAAAAUUAGCUUAUAUAUACUUAGUUUUAAGCAAGGGCACAGAUACCCUACGUAAAGAAAAAAGAGAAAAGAAAAAUGGCCACACUAUGAAAAGACAAGAAGGUCACAUUAGUUUGAGCAGUCGAAGAAAGAGCGGGGAGAAAAGACGAAGCGAAAUAAAACGCAACCAACGCCUAAAUACCUAUGAAGAUAAGAGAUUGUGUUUUAUCCGCAAUUCUCACGUUCCUGGA